AAUAUUCACCCAUAGAGAAGUGGCAAUAACAGAGAAUAAAAUUGGAUUUAAAGUUAAAAUAUGCCACGGUGCUCAGCCCUACGGCUCCAGCACGGGAUUAGGAAAACACGGGGGAAACGCCACAAUUUCCCCCAGUGAACAAAAACGGAGAAAGAUGUGGAAGCAGAAAGACGAACUGGACAUCAACUGAUUUCUCCGUUGUGUGAGCAGAGAUGUGACACCAUCGCUCAACACUUCUUGGGGUCGUGAUGAAGGAACUCUCCGGAGUCGUCACUCUAUCAGUCCCUUCGUUCUGAACGAGCAGAGGAUGAAGAGGCCUCGCGCGGUAGCGAGGGGAGAGGAAGAUGCCGUCCCUCCGCGAGAUUCAAAACGCUCUGACAGAGUGGGAGAGGACCAUUAAGUGGUGUGUUAUUUACACAUCAUAAGCCAGUCUAUUAUAUUGACAUCCAGACGACCCGGUCCUCCGCUGCUCCGUGCGCGGCCGGCGAACGGCCUCGCUCUCUGUUUGCUCUCAACACCCGCAUGCUGAUUGGGUGAUUUUCCUGAUAUGACAUUCCAAUGGUCUGGACUAUGUACAAGAUCCUUUCGUCUGAAAAUGGUCCGAAAGCAUUCAUUACCCGCCGAGAAAUGAGACAAAAGGUCAAGAAAGCGAUGUGACGGGGUGGAGCCACGCGAAGUAGAGGUGGGGUUUACAAUCCAAUUGGGGAUUAAGUUAUCUCUUAUAUCUCUUACUUACAAUAAAUCCACACGUCUCCAUCAGAAAUGUCUUGUUUAAACUGUAGACGAGCGUGAAGCAAAUGUUUGACUUUAUUUAAAAUUCAUUGUUCAGUAUUACGUUGCCCGGCCGGGGUGAGCCCUGAGAUUGCGAGAGGUGAGCAGACAGCCUGUGUAUUUUUUUUUUAUUCUGAUCCAGGAAUUGCAGAAUUGCCAUCCGGUUGUUGUCCUCCGCACCAUUCUGCCAUUUACCGAAGGCAUCAAAAUAUUUGACAUCCUAUAAUGGGAUCGCAUCCAGAGCAAUUCCUGUAACUACUGUUG